UUCAUUGCGCGCCAUAAAUUCUCCCUUCCGUUCCCGUCGCCACUCCAUCCUGCCGCCGUUCGCCGCCGCUCCAGAUCCGUCGCCGCCGUUCGCCGCUCCAGAUCUGUCAUCGCGGCUCCAGCACCGUCGUCGCCGCUCCAGCCCCGCUCCGCCUCGUUGUCGUCGCCGCUCCAGCCUCGCUCUGCUCCGUCGUCGUCUCUCCAGCCAAGCCUGCCCUAUAUCUAACCAUUUCUGCUACAUUCACAUAGCUAAAAACUUUCCACAAUCUGCAUUCAGUUGAAGACACUAUGGAAUUGUGAGAGAUUUCAAUAUUCAUCUUCCUAAUCAGUGACAUAAAUAGAGCACAACACGGUCUAUGGAUUUAUGCUGGACAGAACUUGGCUGCACACUAUAUUUGCCAUACAGCUUUCUCUCACACUCUGGAUCUUGAACAAAACUUUUGGGAUUUCCUAUAUUUGGUAAUUGGUGCUAAGUGGAAAGAGUGGUGUUCGGGGGGCAUCUUCUUGAAGAAAACAACAUCUGUGAAAGCUGAUGCAGUGAGAAUUGGCCACUACAAUGAUGGGCAGUUUCCAACGAAUGCUAAAGAAUUUACUAAACGCAUAUUCUACACGGUUUUCAUGUGAACCGAUACUAGUAACGAAGCCUCAAGUUCAAGCAAGAAACACUCGAGGGUGGUUGCAGAGGACAUCGGGUCAUGGCAUCUCGACGUUGCAAUAGAUGGAGUGGUAUCUGCCCUGCUCUCCUUGUUUCAAACUCUCAUCAUCCCUAAAAAGGUACAUCACCUUAUAUUGUAUUCAUGGCUUUUUUCAAUCCAGACUAGAUUAAAUGUUUUAUAUUCGUAGUUUUAGUCAUGUAUUAUACGGUGACGCUUGACAAAACACAAAAGUAGAUAUACAACUGUUGUUGAGUAUUAGAGGCAGGAAAAUGGGAGCACAGAUAUUGACAAAUCAACAAUAGUAAAAAUUAGGUGUUGAACAAGAAUGGUCGUGGCGUUCACGAUAGCCUCACUAUUGCCAUGGAUCCACCACAAAUCUGGCUUUUAUCUGGUGUUGAGUAGCACCACUGCCGAUCAAGGAUUGUCUGGUAAUCUAACCAAGUAUGGUUGCAGCUCUGGUGACAUAAAUACAAUUGGAAGCAUCAAUAUGAAAGUCCUAGAGCAUUCUUGAAAUGGGCUGCUGUCAAUCUCGGUUAUUCAUCCUUAGCACAAACUGAUCAAAUUAACACUCUUGAAUCUUUGGAGAGGGGAAUGACAGAGGAAGAACUCUCAACAUAUGGAAAAUUGAGAAAGACUUUACAUUGUGGACCAGUAUCCAUGUUUGAGAAUCUGUGCGAGAAAUGUGGCGCAAAUAUGAGUCCAACACAAAUAGCUCACAAAGUUAAACAUUUCUUCAAGAGCUAUUCGAUAAAUCGACAUAAGAUGACCAUUCUAACGCCUUCAUAUCUAGUGGAGGAGGUGGAUACUAGAGAGGAAGCUGGCUUCUUCAGAUGUGCCGAACGAUGAACAAAUAAGUUUGAUCAAAGAUUUGGAAAGGAAAGAGACGAAGUUUAUGAGAUUGGGAAGGAACAAGAUAUGUGUAGAUGAUAAAUCCGCCACUAAAUCGUUAAUUUGUUUUUUAUUAUUUUUAAAUUUGCACUGAUACUCAAUAUUAUUAUACUUUGGUUUUAUGAGUAAUUAAUGAGUAUUUGUGUAUC